ensembl:lncRNA
UUUUUUUUUUUUUUUUUUUAAUGAUUUCCUUUGCUGUGCAGAACAUUGUAAGUUUGAUUAGUUCCCACUGGUUUGAAUGUUACAUUUUGCUGAAAGACUUUCUUUUUUUUGUUGUUGUUGUUGUUGUUGCUAUUUCUUGGGCCGCUCCCGCGGCAUAUGGAGGUUCCCAGGCUAGGGGUUGAAUCGGAGCUGUAGCCACCGGUCUACGCCAGAGCCACAGCAAUGCAGGAUCCGAGCCGCAUCUGCAACCUACACCACAGCUCACGGCAACGCCCAAUCGUUAACCCACUGAGCAAGGGCAGGGAAUGAACCCGCAACCUCAUGGUUCCUAGUCGGAUUCGUUAACCACUGCGCCACGACGGGAAAUCCUGAAAGACUUUCUAAAUGAAUUCUUAGGAUAAACCCAUUAGAGGAACUUUGCUGACAAUCAAUUAUCUUGGGUGUAUCCCCUGAAAAACAGAAGGCAAAGCUUUCUGCAAGACAGAUAUUCGGCCAGCACACGAGUAUCUGAUGCUCUAGGCCUCUGACCUUAUCACUACAUCCUUUUUGACAACCAAAGGAGGAAUGGUUUUGGCUUUGUGCCAGACACGGUGGAAAUUCACCAGACUGGCUUUGAUCUGCACAGUCUACAGCGCAGACGUCUGGCCCGGAGAAGACACACACAGAUCAAAACAGGCAGACUGUGCUGCCAGGGGCUGGGGAAAGUGGGCGUGACAGUGUGUUCUUCAUGGGGGAGGGGUUUCCCGGCGGGAUGACAGGAACAUCCUGGAACCAGACUGUGGUGAAUGGUACACAUGCCUACUCCCCACCCCGCCCGGGGCUGCCAGUAAAGUAACAAAAUGAUGGGCAGCCUCAGGUGUGUAUCAGACGAGGUCCCCAAGCCCUGGGGACAGCCAUGGCAGAGGUGGGCGCCCUGUGCAGGGCAGAAAGGUGUACACCAGCACCUGCUGGGUGGGCCUUGAGCAGGGGUGCUGAAGUACCAGGUGGACUAAGAGAAGCUGGCAUCCAUGCAUCUGCCACGGGCCUCGCCAGUAAGGGCCCUUCCUCAGUCUGCUCCCCGCAGGGCUGCAUCCCUGGCAUAGAGCACCCCCUGGGCACUGAGAUGGGCUGUGCUGUCUUGGGGGGGGGGGCCCUUCGGCCAGUCCUCAGGUUGAGAUCAUCACCAGGCACCACCCAUCCCGAGAGGCCCCCUGACGCCCUCGUACGCAUCCCCUCGGGGACAGCUGACACAGCAGUAAAGGCUCACCCUACAUAUGGCGUGAUGCCCCAGAAUGGAGCAGCUGGUUCCUGGGAAGACAGGCGGGAACUACCCACUUGUAUGAUUGUCUUCUCACGGGCUGUCCCUCCUGCGGUGUGUCCACCUCUGUCUUAGGUUAAGAGGCCGCAUCUAACCACAGCUCUGAGUCUCAGGGGACGUGAACUGUCAUGUGGGAGGAUGGGAACCUGGAUGCCGAGACCCCGGGCUGCCCUGUGGGGCCUGGUGCGGCUCCAACACACAGACACAGUCGGGUCAAGAGCAGCAGCUGCACAUUGUACAGGAAGGGCUUACCAGCCCGGGCUGACACCACUCCUUGGGCCCUUGGCCCGAGUCUGGGCAUCUGGAUUUUCCAGAGGGUUUCCACCAUCCCUGACUGGGAAGAAUGGCUUCCACGCCUCGACUGUCUGUGCAAACAAUGUGGUUUAUGCUGCGCCCCCCGCUCCUCCCAGGGGUAGAGAACUUGCGGGCCUGCUGGGCACAGGGUGCCAAGGGGGCAGGCCCGCAGAGCCACCCUGGGCACCAGGCUCUGCUGAGUUUCCUGGUGGAGGACGGUUUGCACGCGCCCCUAGAGCUUGUUCCUGGGGCCGUCAGCAAGUCCUGUGUGAUUCCACCAGGAGGCGAUGCCUGGAAGCUCUGGGUCUCUCCCGGGUGACUCUGCCCUCUGCGGGUUUUGCUUUGCAUCUUGUUGUCAGAAGAAGUCUGAGCUGUGUGUUCACCUGUACGCUGAGCCCUCCUCCUGGGAAGAGCUGAAGCCGGGCGAGGUCCCCCGGCCCCCAUACCAUGUCCUGGGGCUGCGGCCAGAAGGAGCCCAGGUGGGGUCAGGGCGCGGGGGGGUGGGGGUGGGGCUGCAGUGUUUGCAAACUUGGUACCCGAGUGCUGCAAACCUUAAGAGCCACGCUUCCUGUGAGACGGGUUUUCUCACUACAGCAAGGGGACACUUCCCAGGACUCAGAUGACUACUUCUGAAUUAGCAAAAAACAAAAAUACAUCUCCGUUUUAAAGCUACGCACCAGAAUGAAACGGAAACUGCUGUUUGGCCUCUCCGGUGUGGGCAUCCCAGAUUAUUGUUGUCUGCGCUCCGCAAAAAAACAAAGAAAAGAAAACAACGUUAGUAACUUUUCUUGGGGAGUGUUUUCUCCAGAAAAAUGUAUCCUACAAGCAAACGCAGGGAGCCCCUCUCUUCUCUCAACCCAGCACUACCCAAUAAAUAGCACGCAGGCCACACAGGAAGUUGAAACUUUUCUAGUAAUCUCACACACACACACACACACACACACACACAGGAAAAAAAAGGUAGAACUAAUUUUAACGGUUGUUUCUUUCAGUCCAAUGUGGCCAAAAUAUUAACAUUUCAACAUGACAUCAACACAGGACUAUCAGUGCGAUACUGGACAUUCUUUUUGUCCGUGUCUUUAGAAUUCAUGGUGUGUUUGGCGCUUGAGAAUCCAGACGGUCACAUUUAUAAACCUGGCCACACGUGGUGGGGGUUACUGCCCUGGACCCAGCAGCCCUGAGACUCAGAAAAGGACCAAUCCUGGUGGGAAUCCGCCCAACCAUGAAACUGUGUGGAUGCAGAUCUAAACACGCUUUCGUAACCCAUCCAAAAGAAAAGCUGCAGAAAUGGGUACUUCUGAAAAGUCCCAUGACCUGGGGGCAUGGGAUACAGUGGGUUACACUGGGGUGUGGCACUGAUUGACUGGUGCACCUAUAAAGACGAAAAAAAAAAAAAGAUCUCCGCCCUGGGGGCAUGGGGGGGGCAGGGGGACAAAGCAAAUCACAGACGCUUAAGAAGCUCCUGCUGGGAGGCCCUUAGGGAAGCAGCCAGGGGGAGCUCAGUGAAAAGCAUUACAACUCAGUCUUUUUUUUUUUUUUUUAAAUGGCCACUCCUGCAGCAGAGGGAAGGUGCAGGGCCAGGAACUGAAUCUGAGCAGCAGUGGCGACCCACGCGGCACGCUUUAACUCCCUGAGCCUGGCUGGGGAACCGAACCCACAUCUCCUUAGUGACCCGAGAAGCUGUGGUCAGAUUCUCAACCCGCUGUGCCACGGAAGGAACUCCCAGAAUUGAAUUUUUUGCAGGAAUUUUCCACUGCACUGGAACCUUUACUCGCCCCCGCGCCCCCACCCCGGCAAAGAUCUGCCAAGCAAAGGACAUAUAAACUCUUCCACAAUUCUGAUACAGUUUCACAUGCUACAUCCGUAUCUGUUUCAAUUUGCUGAUGUUAUACAUUGACUAUCCACUGGAUAAGAGCUCCCCUAGUGGCUCAGUGGGUUAAGAAGCUGACUAGUAUCCAUGAGGAUGCAGGUUCGAUCCCUGGCCUUGCUCAGCGGGUUAAGGCUCUGGCGUUGCCAUGAGCUGUGGUGUAGGUCGCAGGUGCAGCUCGAAGCCUGCGUUGUUGUGGCUGCGGUGUAGGCUGGCAGGUGUACCUCCGAUUUGACCGCUAGCCUGGGAACUUCCAUAUGCCACAGGAGCAGCCCGAAAAGAUUUAAAAAAAAAAAGCAAAGAAUAUACUCCAGCCAAAAAAGCGUUCGUGAUACGAAAGCUCUUCAGAAUUUGAAACACACUUUAGCCACUUUGGGCUAAGCAUGCACUGAAGGUCAAAGCCAGCAUCUCUACAUUACAUUUCCUCCCUGAGAAUAUACUGCUUUUGAAACCUGACUAUUACGCGCUGGCUGACUACUAAUCACGGCAGACAGUGUCUGCUGCAGAGACGGCUAGGACCCCGAGUGUGCAGUUCACGAACUGUCUCGUGCACUGCCUGGUGGGGUCAAAAGAUAAUCAGGCAGCAGAUCCAAAACGGAUAUAAAAACAGCCCCCGGGGUGGGGGCAGGGAGGAGCCGAGGAUGCAAAGAACUCUUUGGAGUGUGUGGAGGUUCAAGGGCAGGAGUUCCUGGCCAUGGGGCGGGAGUUCCAACCCUUUCCCGACUCUAUACCAAGGUGUCCCCAAGGCCAAGUGGUGAGGCUCUCGAGGGCUCCAUGCUCCUGUCCGUGAAAAAGGACAGAGCCCUCCAGGGAGUCCCUCUCACCUUGGGAGCAUCACAGGGGCCAACGCAGGCAGUAGUUAUCACCUGCACAAAUCUUUAAAAUAGUUCAGUCAGCAGCAUGGAUGACCAGCCUUCCAGAAGACCAAGUUCCAUGUGUGUGUGUGUGUGUGUGUGUGUGUGAGUGUGAUGUCUGAACUGUAAUGUCGCUGGGAAAAUUCAGUGGUAGCUGUAGGAGAACCUUUAGCGCAUCAACCACAGAAGCUCAGCUUUCUCAUGUGAGACAUGAGGUUGCCAAGGUUGAACAAAAGGUUUGCUAGCAUCAAUGAGAGAGAGAGAGAGAGAGAGAGAAAGAGAGAGAGAGAGAUGAAGAAUGAUAAUUCACUGCCCUAGUCGGUGACCCUACUGUCGUGCAGGGGCAGCAAACCUUUCCUGUCAAGGCCCAGAGAGAGAAUAUUUCAGGCUUUGAGGACCACACGGUGUCUGUUAUAACUCAUCCGUCCGCUGUUGUAGCAGGAAAGCUGCCACGGACUAUUUGGAGCCAAUGGGUGGGGCUGCAGGCCAAGAAAACGUUAUUUACAAAAACAGCUGAUGGGCCAGAUUUGACCUGCGGGCCAGGGCUUAUCAAACGCAACGAUGACUAUUCCGAGAGCGUGACAAUGCUUACAGGUCACCUCUAUCAUGUUCUAAGCAUUUUUAGAACCUGAAUGGACAGACAGUAGUGACUUUACAAUCAUCCGGAAGUCAUUAUGCAAAUGCGAAGCCUUCUGGAGACCAGGCCAGAGCACUGCACGCAGGCAUGGUUUCUAGCUGUAGAGCCAUACACUGAUGUGAGAACGGGGCUGUUUUUUCCUUCUUCACUUCUUUCUUUCCUUCUGUCUUUUUAGGGCCGAACCCACGGCACAUGGAGGUUCCCAGGCUAGGGGUCCAAUCGGAGCUUUGGCUGGCGGCGUAACCCACAGCCACAGCCACGCCGGAUCUGAGCUGCAUCUGCGACCUACACCACAGCUCAGGGCAACGCUGGAUCCUUAACCCACGGAGUGAGGCCAGGGAUCGAACCUGGGUCCUCAUGGAUGCUACUCAGAUUUGUUUCUGCUGAGCCACGAUGGGAACUCCUCCUUCUUCGGUUCUUGAUAACGCUUCUUUUCCAAAGCUGUUUGGAAUGACUUAGAAUUCCUGCCGAGUUUUGGGGGCGGCAUAACCAUUCACGCAGGGGCUCUAGGGGUCAUGAUUCCAUUUCUGUCCCGACAGCUAAGGAGACAGAAACCCAGACAGGGUAGGGGGGGUGCUGGAAUUAGCGGAGUCAGAGCCAGGAUGGCAUCUACACCUGCGGACCUUUCACCCAGUGUCCCUUCACCCCAUAAGGGCUCCCAGAUGCGCCUGGGUGAUCACAGCCACUCAGACUUACUGCCGUCACACCCACCAGGCAACCUGGUCUGGGCACAGAGUGGAUUCUAGGUCUGCUCCGCAGGCUGCCAUGAGCACGCGCCCUCGUACGCGCGUCUGCCUUCCUUCCUCCUGCUCUCAGGGACCCUGCGGUCUAGAGACAGAAGCAACGAUUCUCGAGGGAGGGGAACAAGCCUGGUGAGCAAAACUGCUGCUCAGAGUUUACGCAGAGGGCACGCUACACCAGUGGGCUCCUUGAAGCAGUGGAUAAAUGCAAUCUGGGGAUUGCUUCUUUCUCCCACUGAAUACGAACCUCCAAACACAUGGGGGGAAGCUUUGCAGGAAGGUCUGUGGCUACAGUGCAUGAGAGAUGACGGGAGGUCGGACAAAACCCACACAAACAAACAACCCCGAGACAAGUCCUUCAGAUUUCUUCCGGGGAGGCAGCAGAAGUCUCGGAAUUCAAAGAAACCCUGAAGUUAUCGGACAUUAAACCUAAAGGAGCAUCUGCGGAGCACAGAGACGUCUUUCACGCAAACACUCACUUUGUCGACGCCAGCACUCAAAAUGUAAUUCCCCUUCUUGUUCCACUUCAAGGCAAAGAUGGGGCCUUUAUGUUGGCCUAAGGUGCUGGCCAGGUUACCUGGUAUGUAAAAAAACAAAGCACAGCAAGCAUGGUGACCUCCAAGUCCCGGGCUGCUCCCUGGAUGAUGACAAACCACAGCACCUCUCGGCCGAACCCCGAGCGGGGGGGAGGCAGAACUUACCAUCUUCCGUCCAUAUCCUGGCAAAACCGUCAUAGGAACCUGUAGCCAACAGUGUCCCAUCACUCUGCGGGCCAGAGAGAAACACACAGCAACAACGACAGCUUAGUGGGGGCAGCUCUGAAAAGGGAGCCUCUCACGUAGGCGGGGCCCGGACCCGUCUGACGUCAGUCACCAGUUUCCGGGGAAGGGCCUCGCCAGGUACGGCAGGGGGGGGCCGCCCGCCGCUGCCCUUCCGUGAGCACCGAGGACAGAACGGGCUCCCC